GCUGACGAGUGGCGAACGGGUGAGUAAUACAUCGGAACGUGCCCGAUCGUGGGGGAUAACGGAGCGAAAGCUUUGCUAAUACCGCAUACGAUCUACGGAUGAAAGCAGGGGACCGCAAGGCCUUGCGCGGACGGAGCGGCCGAUGGCAGAUUAGGUAGUUGGUGGGAUAAAAGCUUACCAAGCCGACGAUCUGUAGCUGGUCUGAGAGGACGACCAGCCACACUGGGACUGAGACACGGCCCAGACUCC
rnacentral:rRNA from 1 species